rnacentral:rRNA from 1 species
GAAUUUUCCACAAUGGGCGAAAGCCUGAUGGAGCAACGCCGCGUGCAGGAUGAAGGCCUUCGGGUUGUAAACUGCUUUUAUCUGUGACGAUUUUGACGGUAGCAGAUGAAUAAGGAUCGGCUAACUCCGUGCCAGCAGCCGCGGUCAUACGGAGGAUCCAAGCGUUAUCCGGAAUUACUGGGCGUAAAGAGUUGUGUAGGCGGCAAAGUAAGUAAGUAAUGAAAUCGUGUGGCUCAACCACAUACCCAUUGCUUAAACUGCUUAGCUUGAGAAUGGAAGAGGUUGCUAGAAUUCCUAGUGUAGGGGUGAAAUCCGUAGAUAUUAGGAGGAAUACCAAUGGCGUAGGCAGGCAACUGGUCCAUUUCUGACGCUCAGGCACGAAAGCGUGGGGAGCGAUCGGG